rnacentral:rRNA from 1 species
ACGGGAGGCAGCAGUGGGGAAUAUUGCACAAUGGGGGAAACCCUGAUGCAGCGACGCCGCGUGAGCGAUGAAGUAUUUCGGUAUGUAAAGCUCUAUCAGCAAGGAAGAUAAUGACGGUACUUGACUAAGAAGCUCCGGCUAAAUACGUGCCAGCAGCCGCGGUAAUACGUAUGGAGCAAGCGUUAUCCGGAUUUACUGGGUGUAAAGGGAGCGUAGACGGUCGGGCAAGUCUGAUGUGAAAGCCCGGGGCUCAACCCCGGAACUGCAUUGGAAACUGUUUGACUAGAGUGCAGGAGAGGUAAGUGGAAUUCCUAGUGUAGCGGUGAAAUGCGUAGAUAUUAGGAGGAACACCAGUGGCGAAGGCGGCUUACUGGACUGUAACUGACGUUGAGGCUCGAAAGCGUGGGGAGCAAACAGGAUUAGAUACCCUGGUA